rnacentral:rRNA from 1 species
GAUGAACGCUAGCGGCAGGCCUAACACAUGCAAGUCGAGGGGCAUCAUGGCGUAGCAAUACGCUGAUGGCGACCGGCGCACGGGUGCGUAACGCGUAUGGAACCUACCCACCGCAGGGGGAUAACCCGCCGAAAGGCGGACUAAUACCCCAUGGUUCCCCGACCCUGCCUGGGGUUGGGGGUAAAGCCUACGGGCGGCGGUGGAUGGCCCUGCGUGCCAUUAGCUGGCUGGUGGGGUAACGGCCCACCAGGGCGACGAUGGCUAGGGGGUCUGAGAGGACGAUCCCCCACACUGGUACUGAGACACGGCCCAGACUCCUACGGGAGGCAGCAGUGGGGAAUAUUGGACAAUGGGCGAAAGCCUGAUCCAGCAAUGCCGCGUGAGUGAUGAAGGCCCUAGGGUUGUAAAGCUCUUUUACCCGGGAUGAUAAUGACAGUACCGGGAGAAUAAGCUCCGGCUAACUCCGUGCCAGCAGCCGCGGUAAGCUCGUCUCUA